CCUGCAACCCGUGCAGAGAGACAGGAUCACUUUGGACUACAUUCAUUUAUUGGCCCCCAUAUGUUCUCCGCCGCUCAGCUGCACGGAUUAGUUUGAGAGGGUUUUAAAGCUGAAAAUUACUCCCAAACAGCUUGCUUUCUGCUUUUUGUUUCAUACUUAUUUAAUCAUUUCUGGAUCUAAAAAGUCGUAGUUCUGUAUUCCCCCCAAAUGCUUCGCCUGUCAGACUCGCUUUGCAUGUGGACAUAAGCUAUUGGGUUUAGUCAGGUGCUUCAACACAGGGGAUCUUAUUUAGAAUAAUUUUUAAAAUCCCUUUCCCUGUCCUGGAGGCGCGUCCUUUAUUUUUCCAUCCACGAUGGCUGAUUCCAACGCUGAAUGCAAUAUCAAGGUGUUGUGUCGAUUCCGCCCGCUGAACCAGUCCGAAAUUAUUCGCGGAGAUAAGUUCAUACCAAUAUUUCAAGGGGAAGACACUGUCAUCUUUGGGGGGAAGUCCUACGUGUAUGACCAGGUCUUCCCCACUAAUAUCACUCAGGAACAAGUCUACAACGCCUGUGCCAAACAGAUUGUCAGAGAUGUACUUGGUGGAUACAAUGGGACUAUAUUUGCCUAUGGGCAGACCUCUUCGGGAAAAACACACACCAUGGAGGGGAAGCUUCAUGAUCCCCAGGCUAUGGGAAUCAUUCCCCGGAUCGCCCAGGACAUUUUUGAACAUAUAUUUGCCAUGGAUGAGAACCUGGAGUUUCAUAUAAAGGUCUCCUACUUUGAGAUCUACAUGGAAAAAAUCCGUGACCUCCUUGAUGUGACAAAAACCAACCUGUCAGUGCAUGAAGACAAAUACAGGGUUCCCUAUGUGAAGGGCUGCACAGAACGGUUUGUCACCAGUCCUGAAGAAGUGAUGGAUGUGAUAGAUGAGGGGAAGGCCAACCGUCACGUUGCUGUCACCAACAUGAAUGAGCAUAGUUCUCGUAGUCACAGCAUCUUCCUGAUUAACAUCAAGCAAGAAAAUGUAGAAACGGAGCAGAAACUGUGCGGGAAGCUCUACCUGGUUGACCUUGCUGGGAGUGAGAAGGUCAGUAAGACAGGUGCGGAGGGAUCGGUGCUGGAUGAGGCCAAGAACAUCAACAAGUCCCUAUCGGCUCUGGGGAACGUAAUUUCUGCUUUGGCUGAAGGAACGAAAUCCCAUGUGCCGUACCGUGACAGCAAAAUGACUCGCAUCCUGCAGGACUCACUGGGUGGGAACUGCCGCACCACCAUGUUUAUCUGUUGCUCUCCAUCGAGCUACAAUGAUGCAGAGACCAAAUCCACGCUGAUGUUUGGCCAACGAGCCAAGACCAUUAGAAAUACCGUCACAGUGAAUCUGGAGCUCACAGCGGAGCAGUGGAAAAAGAAGUACGAGAAGGAAAAAGAGAAGAACAGAUCGAUGAAGGAAACUAUACAAAGACUUGAAGCUGAGCUGAAUUGCUGGAGGAAUGGUGAGAAUGAUGUGCUGGGACAGCUGGGUGAAGGAUCUGAGGAUGCCCCCUUUGUGCCUCUGGAUUUUGAAGAGCCAACUCUUGAAUUAUGCAGCCCAUGCACCCCAUGCACUCCUUGUAGCCCCUGCUCCUUAGCGUCAUCCAUUGUGGUUCACAUCUCAGAGGAAGAGCGGCAUAAAUAUGAGGAAGAGAUCCGCAAGCUGUACAAGCAGCUGGAUGAUAAGGACGAUGAAAUCAACCACCAGAGCCAGAUGGUAGAGAAGCUGAAGGAGCAGAUGCUCGACCAAGAGGAGCUUUUAGCUUCGUCCAGGGGAGACAGCGAGAAGGUGCAGUCAGAACUCGACAGGCUGCAAGCGGAAAAUGAGUCUGCUAAGACUGAGGUGAAGGAGGUGCUUCAGGCUCUGGAGGAGCUGGCUGUAAACUUCGACCAGAAAAGCCUGGAGGUCGAGGAGAAGAGCAUGAAGAACAAGGUGCUGGCUGAAGAACUUGGAAAGAAGAUGGCUCACCUCAGGGCUUUAGAGGUGGAGCUGUCCCGCAUCCAGGAGGUGAGCAGCCACCAAAGAAAACGCAUCGCUGAGGUUCUCAACGGCCUCAUGAGGGACCUGCGCGAGUUCAGCACAAUAGUUGGAAGCCGGGAAAUUAAGCUGCCUGUGGAGAUCACUGGUGCGAUCGAGGAGGAGUUCACGGUGGCUCGGCUCUACAUCAGCAAGAUUAAGUCAGAGGUGAAGUCCAUGGUGAAGCGCUGCCGACACCUGGAGAACCUCCAAACAGAAUGCAACCGAAAGAUGGAGGAAACAAGCAGAGAGCUGUCGUCAUGCCACCUCCUCAUCUCACAGCAUGAGGCAAAGAUUCGCUCUCUGAUGGACUACAUGCACAAUGUGGAGCUCAAGAAGCGACAGCUGGAGGACAGUUAUGAUUCUCUGACUGAGGAGAUGGCCAACCUCAGAGCUCAAGAAAGCAUGUCACAGAUGACCAAUGGGGAGAACAGCACAUCUCUCCAGAAUCUGUCUGAUAUGAAGGCGACUCCUCAGAUAGCUCUGGAGGAGCAGAUGAAGUCACACCGUGAAGCCCAAAGCAAGCAGGUUGGCCGCCUUCGAGACGAGAUCAACGAGAAACAGAAGACCAUUGAUGAAUUAAAAGACUGCAACCAGAAGCAGCAGCUGGAGUUGGAGCAACUGCAUGGCGACUUUGAAUGUCUCAGAAGUCGGGAGCAUCACAAGAGUCGGCAGCUGGAGGAACUGACAUUUCUCUGCGAACGGCAUGAGCAGUCAAAGCAGGACCUGAAAGGGCUGGAGGAGACUGUUGCCCGUGAACUCUACACCCUGCACAACCUCCGCAAGCUCUUUGUUCAAGACCUCACAACUCGAGUCAGUAAGAGUACAGAGCUUGAACCUAAUGAUACUGGGGGAUUUAUCACUCAAAAACAAAAGAUUUCCUUUCUUGAAAACAACUUGGAGCAGCUUAGCAAAGUUCACAAACAGCUGGUACGCGACAACGCAGAUCUUCGCUGUGAGCUUCCAAAACUGGAGAAACGUCUCCGCUCUACCGCCGAGCGAGUUAAAGCACUGGAGGGAGCGUUGAAGGAGGCGAAGGAGGGCGCCAUGAAGGACCGUCAGCGCUACCAGCAGGAGGUGGAGCGAAUCAAGGAUGUGAUGAGGCGCAAUCCUUUCCGCCGCCCCCACGCUGCUCAGAUAGCCAAGCCUGUGCGUCCCGGCCACUACCCAUUCUAUCCUCCCAUCAACCACUUCUUCAUCCGGGGCUACAGCGAAAACCCCGUCGCUUUCUGCAAUGCCGGUUUCCAGAACAAAAACAACCAACCAACAGCUCCCGUGGACGCUCCCCCAGUACAUGACGCCGAGGCCAGAUUACCUGAGGAUGAGUGCAACCAGAACAGCUCUGCAGAACUACUCAACCCACAAAGUGAAGAUGAGGGAGACACCCAGAACAAGCUUGCAGCUAAACCAAUAAGCAAAGCAGAGAAGUCUUCAGAAAUGCUUGAUUCAGAAAACGGAAACACCACAGAUUUCAAUGACAACAGCUCUGAAAUGCCUUCCUCACCGUUGCAUCUCCCUGCUCCAUUGCUGCCCCCUUGCUGCGGACACUGCUACUGCUGCUGCAACGCCCUGUGAUCCUGGUGUGUGUGCAUCUAUGUGUGUGGUGGUUAGCAUGUGUCUGAAUGUGAAUUCUGUGCCCAGAACUGAUGUCUGCGACAAUCAGGACGCAGCCAAACUCUACAAAUUGCAGAAUGAGGCUUCAGCCAGCUAAGGCAGGCGAAUGUUUCUGAGGCCUCUAUUGUAAAUCUGCAUGCAGAUGAUCAAUGUUGUUCCAGACUCCUGCCCCAAACCCACCUGCUGUAAAAAGCCCUCUUUGUGUCAAUUUUCCAUCCUCAGCCUGUUCUUCUCUGGUUCCUUCUUCUUCCUGUGUGUGGGUAACAGUUUGGCAAGCACUGCAUCUCAAACACCUGCCAGCCUACACCUGCUGCUGCACCCGGUCACUAUUACUUGAAAUAGAACGGUCCCAAAAUAGAGAGGUGGGGAAAGAGAGGCUGCAAUGGAAUCUGUUACCACCAGGGUGUGCUCAUUGACAUUAGGGGCAAACAAUAAAAAAUCUAUUUUAAACUCCAUAGUUAUUGUCAUCAUUAGUAAACUAUCACAAGUUUCUAAGAACAUAAAAGAUAAAAUAUGUGACAUCAAAACAGGUUGAACCUUAUAAUCACUUUAUUAAUGUUUAUUCUUUAUACUGCAUGUUUAUUUUUGAUGAAGCAACUCUUUUGCUGAAAUUUUUCAGAAUACAGGGGCCUUUGUGUUGAAAUCUGUUAAUGGUUAAAAGAAAAACCCUGAAACUAAAUCUAUUCUACUGUGUUUCAUUGGACUUUACUCAAUGUUUCUCUCAGUCAGAAGCUGACAAUUUCCUCUGAUUUACCUUGGGGAAUUAAAAACAUUCAUGUUACAUUUGUUGUAAAAAAAAACAAACAAAAAAAAAAAACAAAGAUAAACGAGUCACUGAUGUAUUUCCCCUCGUCAUUUUUGAAAGGUAAAGUAAUCGGUAGAAUAGAACUAAUGCAAUUUUUACUUUCCCUUACUUCAGCUUUUGAGAAAACAUGUUAUAAAUAAUGUAAUAUUUCUAUUUUUACUUCAAACAGACGAUCUUCAUAUUUUGUAUUAAUUUUAUUGUGGAGCUCCAGCAGAGUUUACUUUAUCUUUUAUUUGAAACCUGGCAGCUGAUCAGCUGUUGUCACUUUUUGAUGAUCCUCAGUGUCACCAGUUGGUUUUUGAUAUAAUAAGUAUCAUGGCCAAGAGUUGCAUUUUCCAUUUUUUCCAACUUUCAUAUCAUUUACUAUCUUAAAAUACAAUCUUUUGAAACUUAGACAAUAUGAUUGGUGAUUCUGAAUAUUCAAGCAUUUUCAUUUUUUAACAAACAUUUGUUUAGAUUAUUUGCCUUUUGAAAAUGUGUUGAUGUGAGCUUCUUGCAAAAAAAAAGAGAAUAAAAUUAAAGACAAGAAAAUAAUGUAGCUAAACCCCAUAUCCAGAGAAGGUUGAGCUCUUGACCAAGCACUUUCAUUUAUGUUUACCUCAUUCUUUGAAACCACACUGUGACAGAUUGACAUCCACUAACAAGAACGUACGAGUCCCUUUAUAAUAGAUAAAUACACUUAAGGUGUGUUUUAAUUCUAUCCUUAAAGUCUGUGUCUAGUUUCAGUAUGUAACUGGUGCAGCUAAGCUUACUUAGACAUCAAGGUUGAUAAAACAACACCUGCAGUUGUGUUUGACAAAGAUUCUUCAUAUUUGAUUUUUUUACGGAUAAAUGUAUUUUUACAACACUGUAUGUAACACCACAUAGCAGUGGCUUUCAAAAAUAUUUAUAAGCUUUGAACAUCUUCACAUUUUAUCACAUUACAGCCACAACUUUAAUGUAUUUCAAUUUGACUUUGUGUGAUAGAGAGACAAAUUAGUUUGUAUGUGAC